rnacentral:rRNA from 1 species
CACUGACAUUAGAUACCCGUGUAGUCCCAGCCGUAAACUAUGCGCGUUAGGUGUACUGGUGACCACGAGUCACCGGGGUGCCGAAGGGAAACCGUGAAACGUGCCGCCUGGGAAGUACGGUCGCAAGGCUGAAACUUAAAGGAAUUGGCGGGGAGCACCACAACAGGUGGAGCCUGCGGUUUAAUUGGACUCAACGCCGGGAAGCUCACCGGAUAGGACAGCAGAAUGAUUGCCGGGCUGAAGACCCUGCAUGACUAGCUG